GAGAAGAACGUAGCGAAAUGCGAUAACUAAUGUGAAUUGCAGAAUUCAGUGAAUCAUCGAGUCUUUGAACGCACAUUGCGCCCCCUGGUAUUCCGGGGGGCAUGCCUGUCCGAGCGUCAUUGCUGCCCUCAAGCACGGCUUGUGUGUUGGGCUCCGUCCCCCCGGGGACGGGCCCGAAAGGCAGCGGCGGCACCGAGUCCGGUCCUCGAGCGUAUGGGGCUUUGUCACCCGCUCUGUAGGCCCGGCCGGCGCCAGCCGACAACCCAUCAUCCUUUUCAGGUUGACCUCGGAUCAGGUAGGGAUACCCGCUGAACUUAAGCAUAUCAAUAAGCGGAGGA
rnacentral:misc_RNA from 1 species